rfam:Pantoea stewartii subsp. stewartii DC283 WGS_Sequence01, whole genome shotgun sequence.
UUUUACCUGUGUGAUGUGGUGAUUUCAAUCGCUAAUUCAUUGAUUGAAAAAGGGCAAUAAUAUUAUUGCCCUUAAUUUUGU